GUAGGUGGCAAGCGUUGUCCGGAAUUAUUGGGCGUAAAGCGCGCGCAGGCGGGUUCUUUAAGUCUGAUGUGAAAGCCCACGGGCUCAACCGUGGAGGGUCAUUGGAAACUGGAGAACUUGAGUACAGAAGAGGAAAGCGGAAUUCCACGUGUAGCGGUGAAAUGCGUAGAGAUGUGGAGGAACACCAGUGGCGAAGGCGGCUUUCUGGUCUGUAACUGACGCUGAGGCGCGAAAGCGUGGGGAGCAAACAGGAUUAGAUACCCUGGUAGUCCACGCCGUAAACGAUGAGUGCUAAGUGUUAGGGGGUUUCCGCCCCUUAGUGCUGCAGCUAACGCAUUAAGCACUCCGCCUGGGGAGUACGGCCGCAAAGGCUG
rnacentral:rRNA from 1 species